UACGUAGGGGGCAAGCGUUAAUCGGAAUUACUGGGCGUAAAGCGUGCGCAGGCGGUUUUGCAAGACAGAUGUGAAAUCCCCGGGCUUAACCUGGGAACUGCAUUUGUGACUGCACGGCUAGAGUGUGUCAGAGGGGGGUAGAAUUCCACGUGUAGCAGUGAAAUGCGUAGAUAUGUGGAGGAAUACCGAUGGCGAAGGCAGCCCCCUGGGAUAACACUGACGCUCAUGCACGAAAGCGUGGGGAGCAAACAGG
rnacentral:rRNA from 1 species